rnacentral:lncRNA from 1 species
CUUUUUUUCCUAGGCAUUCAGGUUUAACCUCUUAGUUUCUGGCUUAAAAUUCUCCCAACUGAUUUUGGGCUUCCAGGGGAUUUCUUUUCCCCUGGAUUCUAAUUCUUUAGCAGACAGCUGCUCUCUAGAUCUCUCUCUACUUGGUGACAUUGCCCACCAUAGUUACUCCCCUUUUACAAGUUUCCCCUGCCCCAUUUCUUCACCUCCUUUGAUAAUAAUCUCCUGUGACUGAUAUUUGGCUUCAAGACCAUACAUCAUAAAAUUAGUCUCUCUGCAUGCAUUUUUAUAUAUGACAAUCUAAAAGGAAGGAGGGAUGAUGAUAAACAAUAUAAAUAUGAAAAGGGAUA